GUGCCUUCAACUCUGUACCAACAAAAGCAAAGUUUUAAAUGGAGAUUCAGCAGCAAAAGAUAAGAUCAUAUAUAUACUUACCAAUUUCAUUAAACAGGAUUUUCAUAUCUCAACUACAAGAAGCAUUUCAACCAGUAAAGGUGAAGAAAUUGAAGGCAGACACGUAUGUAAAAGGGCAAGAGGAACUAGGAAAUAAUAAAUAACCACUUCCUACUAUUGGUGCAUGUUACUUAAAUCACACAAUUGUUAAACAAAAAUUGUAAUAGAUCUUAUCUAUAGAACUUAGAUCCUA
rnacentral:misc_RNA from 1 species